UGCCCAGACUCCUACGGGAGGCAGCAGUGGGGAAUAUUGGGCAAUGGAGGAAACUCUGACCCAGCAAUGCCGCGUGAAUGAAGAAGGUCUUCGGAUUGUAAAGUUCUUUAGUCAGGGAAGAAGUCAAUGACGGUACCUGAAGAAUAAGCUCCGGCUAACUACGUGCCAGCAGCCGCGGUAAUACGUAGGGAGCAAGCGUUGUUCGGAAUGACUGGGCGUAAAGGGUGCGUAGGCGGUUGUACAAGUUAGAAGUGAAAUACCCAGGGCUUAACUCGGGUGCUGCUUCUAAAACUGUAUGACUUGAGUGCAGUAGAGGUUAGUGGAAUUCCUAGUGUAGCGGUGAAAUGCGUAGAUAUUAGGAGGAACACCGGUGGCGAAGGCGGCCUGCUGGACUGUGACUGACGUUGAGGCUCGAAAGCGUGGGGAGCAAACAGGAUUAGAUACCCCCGUAAA
rnacentral:rRNA from 1 species